rnacentral:rRNA from 1 species
UACAGAGGGGGCUAGCGUUAUUCGGAAUUAUUGGGCGUAAAGGGCGCGUAGGCGGCCUUGCGUGUCUUUCGUGAAAUCCCUCGGCUUAACUGAGGACGUGCGGAAGAAACUGCAGGGCUUGAGUCCGGGAGAGGGGGGUGGAAUUCCCAGUGUAGCGGUGAAAUGCGUAGAUAUUGGGAGGAACACCGGUGGCGAAGGCGGCCCCCUGGACCGGUACUGACGCUGAGGCGCGAAAGCGUGGGGAGCAAACGG